AACGAACGCUGGCGGCAGGCUUAACACAUGCAAGUCGAGCGCCCCGCAAGGGGAGCGGCAGACGGGUGAGUAACGCGUGGGAACGUACCUUUUGGUUCGGAACAACUCCGGGAAACUGGAGCUAAUACCGGAUAAGCCCUAACGGGGAAAGAUUUAUCGCCGAAAGAUCGGCCCGCGUCUGAUUAGCUAGUUGGUGGGGUAACGGCUCACCAAGGCGACGGUCAGUAGCUGGUCUGAGAGGAUGAUCAGCCACACUGGGACUGAGACACGGCCCAGACUCCUACGGGAGGCAGCAGUGGGGAAUAUGGGACAAUGGGCGCAAGCCUGAUCCAGCCAUGCCGCGUGAGUGAUGAAGGCCUUAGGGUUGUAAAGCUCUUUUGUCCGGGAAGAUAAUGACUGUACCGGAAGAAUAAGCCCCGGCUAACUUCGG
rnacentral:rRNA from 1 species